rnacentral:rRNA from 1 species
UUCGCAAUGCCCGAAAGGGUGACGAAGCGACGCCGCGUGUGGGAAGAAGGCCUUCGGGUUGUAAACCACUGUUGGGAGUUAGGAAGUGUGGAGGUGUUAAUAGCGCUUUCACUUGACUAAAGCUCCAGAGGAAGCCACGGCUAACUCUGUGCCAGCAGCCGCGGUAAUACAGAGGCGGCAAGCGUUGUUCGGAAUUAUUGGGCGUAAGGAGCACGUAGGCGGCUCUGCAAGUCAGCUGUGAAAGCCUUCUGCUUAACGGAAGAACGGCAGUUGAAACUACAGGGCUUGAGUGCGGGAGGGGAGAGUGGAACUUCUGGUGGAGCGGUGAAAUGCGUAGAUAUCAGAAGGAACGCCGGCGGCGAAAGCGGCUCUCUGGUCCGUAACUGACGCUGAGUGUGCGAAAGCUAGGGGAGCAAACGGGAUUAGAUACCCCGGUAGUCCUAGCCGUAAACGAUGGGCACUAAGUAGAGGGGUUUU